rnacentral:rRNA from 1 species
CAUGGCUCAGGACGAACGCUGGCGGCGUGCCUAAUACAUGCAAGUAGAACGCUGAAGAGAGGAGCUUGCUCUUCUUGGAUGAGUUGCGAACGGGUGAGUAACGCGUAGGUAACCUGCCUUGUAGCGGGGGAUAACUAUUGGAAACGAUAGCUAAUACCGCAUAACAAUGGAUGACCCAUGUCAUUUAUUUGAAAGGGGCAAAUGCUCCACUACAAGAUGGACCUGCGUUGUAUUAGCUAGUAGGUGAGGUAACGGCUCACCUAGGCGACGAUACAUAGCCGACCUGAGAGGGUGAUCGGCCACACUGGGACUGAGACACGGCCCAGACUCCUACGGGAGGCAGCAGUAGGGAAUCUUCGGCAAUGGGGGCAACCCUGACCGAGCAACGCCGCGUGAGUGAAGAAGGUUUUCGGAUCGUAAAGCUCUGUUGUAAGUCAAGAACGAGUGUGAGAGUGGAAAGUUCACACUGUGACGGUAGCUUACCAGAAAGGGACGGCUAACUACGUGCCAGCAGCCGCGGUAAUACGUAGGUCCCGAGCGUUGUCCGGAUUUAUUGGGCGUAAAGCGAGCGCAGGCGGUUUGAUAAGUCUGAAGUUAAAGGCUGUGGCUCAACCAUAGUUCGCUUUGGAAACUGUCAAACUUGAGUGCAGAAGGGGAGAGUGGAAUUCCAUGUGUAGCGGUGAAAUGCGUAGAUAUAUGGAGGAACACCGGUGGCGAAAGCGGCUCUCUGGUCUGUAACUGACGCUGAGGCUCGAAAGCGUGGGGAGCGAACAGGAUUAGAUACCCUGGUAGUCCGCACGGUAAACGAUGGAUGCCCGCUGUUGGUCUGAAUAGGUCAGCGGCCAAGCGAAAGCACUAAGCAUCCCACCUGGGGAGUACGCCGGCAACGGUGAAACUCAAAGGAAUUGACGGGGGCCCGCACAAGCGGAGGAACAUGUGGUUUAAUUCGAUGAUACGCGAGGAACCUUACCCGGGCUUGAAUUGCAGAGGAAGGAUUUGGAGACAAUGACGCCCUUCGGGGCCUCUGUGAAGGUGCUGCAUGGUUGUCGUCAGCUCGUGCCGUGAGGUGUCGGCUUAAGUGCCAUAACGAGCGCAACCCCUCUCCUUAGUUGCCAUCAGGUUAAGCUGGGCACUCUGGGGACACUGCCACCGUAAGGUGUGAGGAAGGUGGGGAUGACGUCAAAUCAGCACGGCCCUUACGUCCGGGGCUACACACGUGUUACAAUGGCAGGUACAGAGAGACGGUUGUACGUAAGUACGAUCAAAUCCUUAAAGCCUGUCUCAGUUCGGACUGGGGUCUGCAACCCGACCCCACGAAGCUGGAUUCGCUAGUAAUCGCGCAUCAGCCAUGGCGCGGUGAAUACGUUCCCGGGCCUUGUACACACCGCCCGUCAAGCCAUGAAAGCCGGGGGCGCCUAAAGUCCGUGACCGUAAGGAGCGGCCUAGGGCGAAACUGGUAAUUGGGGCUAAGUCGUAACAAGGUA